rnacentral:lncRNA from 1 species
CCCAUCUCUACUAAAAUUGCAAAAAGUAUCCGGGCGUGGUGGCGCACGCCUGUAGUCCCAGCUACUCAGGACUCUGAAGCAUAAGAAUUGCUUGAACCCGGGAGGUGGAGGCAGCAGUAAGCUGAGAUCAUGCCACUGUACUCCAGCCUGGGUGAUGGAGUGAGACUGUUUAAAAAAAAUAAAAAUAAAAAAUAAAAAUAAAUAAAUUAAUAAAAGCAAGUGAGGGAAGUCAGAGAAAAGAGGUGAUGCUGUGGUCUGAACAUUUGUGUCCCCCCAAAUUCCUAUGUUGAAGUCAUAAUCCCCCAAAGUGAUGGUAUUGUGAGGGGGGCUUUGAGGAGGUGAUUAGGUCACAAAUGGGAUUAGUGCCAAAAGGGACCCCAGGGAGAUAGCCCCUUUCACCAUGUGUGGACACAGCAAGAAGGCAGCACCUAUAAACUAGGAAGGAGGCCCUCACUAGACUUGCAAUCUGCUGGCUUCCUGAUCUUGGCCUUUCUAGACUCCAGAACUGUAAGAAAUACAUUUCUGUUGUGAAUGAUUACACAGUUUAUAGUAUUUUAUUAUGGUAGCCUGAAUGGCCUAAGACACGUACUAAGAAGGAAAAGGAGAGUGCAGGGUGGGGGACGUUAAGAGGACAUGGAGAAAGAGAUAUAUUUUUCCAUUUUUAAAAAGGAAACUGAUUUGCUUUCAGAUGGGUGAAAGUUGUGGAAGAAUACAGACUGCGUGUGAACCCCAUCCUAAGGAAGAAGUCAGCUCAUGCACAUCCAGGAAAAGAAAAGCAGACAAACUAAAUCAGCAACCAUCCCUUUGGAUGCCAGCUGACCUCGGAUGGAGAUUUAGUGCUAGAUGUAAAAGGCUUUGUUUACAGACAAUUAAAAACCACAUAAAUUUAAAUUGUCAAAGAAGAAAUGGUUUCCAAAGCUCCUAA